rnacentral:rRNA from 1 species
UACGAAGGGGGCUAGCGUUGCUCGGAAUCACUGGGCGUAAAGCGCACGUAGGCGGAUCUUUAAGUCAGAGGUGAAAUCCCAAGGCUCAACCUUGGAACUGCCUUUGAUACUGGGGAUCUCGAGUCCGGAAGAGGUGAGUGGAACUGCGAGUGUAGAGGUGAAAUUCGUAGAUAUUCGGAAGAACACCAGUGGCGAAGGCGGCUCACUGGUCCGGUACUGACGCUGAGGUGUGAAAGCGUGGGGAGCAAACAGG